ACCGAAAUAGCUCAGUUGGGAGAGCGUAAGACUAUAAAUCGAAAAGUCCUGGGUUCGAUCCCGGGUUCCGGCA
rnacentral:tRNA from 1 species